rnacentral:rRNA from 1 species
UUCGAAAUUGAAAAGGCGGCUUCGGCUGUCACUUAUGGAUGGACCCGCGUCGCAUUAGCUAGUUGGUGAGGUAACGGCUCACCAAGGCAACGAUGCGUAGCCGACCUGAGAGGGUGAUCGGCCACACUGGGACUGAAAAAACGGACCAGACUCCUACGGGAGGCAGCAGUAGGGAAUCUUCCGCAAUGGACGAAAGUCUGACGGAGCAACGCCGCGUGAGUGAUGAAGGCUUUCGGGUCGUAAAACUCUGUUGUUAGGGAAGAACAAGUGCUAGUUGAAUAAGCUGGCACCUUUGACGGUACCUAACCAGAAAGCCACGGCUAACUACGUGCCAGCAGGCGCGGUAAUACGUAGGUGGCAAGCGUUAUCCGGAAUUAUUGGGCGUAAAAGCGCGCGCAGGUGGUUUCUUUAAGUCUGAUGUGAAAGCCCACGGCUCAACCGUUGGAGGGUCAUUUGGAAACUUGGGAGACUUUGAGUGCAGAAGAGGAAAG